rnacentral:rRNA from 1 species
UACGAGGGGGGCAAGCGUUGUUCGGAAUUAUUGGGCGUAAAGGGCGCGUAGGCGGUUUGACAAGUCUGAUGUGAAAUCUAUGGGCUCAACCCAUAGCCUGCAUUAGAAACUGUCGGGCUUGAGUAUGGGAGAGGUGAGUGGAAUUUCCGGUGUAGCGGUGAAAUGCGUAGAUAUCGGAAGGAACACCGGUGGCGAAAGCGGCUCACUGGACCAUAACUGACGCUGAGGCGCGAAAGCUAGGGGAGCAAACAGG